UUUUUACUCGCUAUCCGCCUCAUGGUGUGUCAUCAUUGAUAAAGUAAGGGAAAAGAAAUGAUAUUACCUUACUAUUAGUGUCGUCCAAAUACUCGUGCCAGAAGACUCGGUAAGGCGAGAGACGCAAACGUUAGUCGUCCUAAUCAGGCGUAAAGGGUUUGUAGGCGGCUUUAAGUAUUUAUUCCCUUAACUUGAAUCUUAUUUAAUAUAAGAGUAAAAAGUUAAGGAGUUAAAGGAUAAGUCAAUUAAAGCUAGAAUCAAGUAGAGGUUAAUUUAAAUAAUGUUUGAACAUAGGGUUGAUAUCUAUAGAAUUCAAAUGGAAUACUAACGGCGAAGGCUUUUUUCCAAUAAUGAUUGACGCUGAGAAACUAAGGUGAGGAAAGAAAAAAGGAUUAGAGACCCUCGUAUCCCUCACUGUCAACGAUGAAUGGUAGUUACUAGAAAUGUUAUUCUAGAGACGAUGUUAACACGAAAACCAUUCCGCCUUGUGAGUACGGCUGCAAAGUUGAAAACAAAAAAAUUAGUCGGUUUCGGAGCAAACGGAGUGAAGCAUGUUAUUUAAUA
rnacentral:rRNA from 1 species